CAGAGAACAACUUAUACAAUUUCUCUGGGCACGGAGACUGAUUCAACAAGAAUGAAUCAUUUGUCUUUCAGUUAGGAAAAUGACACAUCUUUUUUGGUCUCAGGCUACAUCAGAACUAACGACUUCCCACCUCUGGGUGGGGUGAGAUCCAUCUCAGGAGGCAAGUGAUAUGACAGAAGAAAAGGCUUCUUCUUCACAAUGAGAGCUUCAAAACGGAAAGGCACUUGCAUGCCAGCAUAUUUGCCCAGCUGUGCAGUAAUUGUCUUAAAUGUGAACUGAUGGAAGAAAAACAAACAAUGAGAGACUUUGUCCUCAACCCCAGACACUGACAAUGAAACCAUCCAAAGCAAAAAUGACAUUGAGAGUGAAAAUAAAACCUAGCCCAACCUGAAUGAGUGUUCUGUUUGUUUUUGAAAUGAGAUAUUCUAUCUCAAAAACUGUUGAGGCUUACUCUGGUGUCUCCAGGUUAAGGCUUGAAAUAAAA
rnacentral:lncRNA from 10 species